rnacentral:rRNA from 1 species
ACUAAGCGUACACGGUGGAUGCCCUGGCAGUCAGAGGCGAUGAAGGACGUGCUAAUCUGCGAUAAGCGUCGGUAAGGUGAUAUGAACCGUUAUAACCGGCGAUUUCCGAAUGGGGAAACCCAGUGUGUUUCGACACACUAUCAUUAACUGAAUCCAUAGGUUAAUGAGGCGAACCGGGGGAACUGAAACAUCUAAGUACCCCGAGGAAAAGAAAUCAACCGAGAUUCCCCCAGUAGCGGCGAGCGAACGGGGAGCAGCCCAGAGCCUGAAUCAGUGUGUGUGUUAGUGGAAGCGUCUGGAAAGGCGCGCGAUACAGGGUGACAGCCCCGUACACAAAAAUGCACAUGCUGUGAGCUCGAUGAGUAGGGCGGGACACGUGGUAUCCUGUCUGAAUAUGGGGGGACCAUCCUCCAAGGCUAAAUACUCCUGACUGACCGAUAGUGAACCAGUACCGUGAGGGAAAGGCGAAAAGAACCCCGGCGAGGGGAGUGAAAAAGAACCUGAAACCGUGUACGUACAAGCAGUGGGAGCACGCUUAGGCGUGUGACUGCGUACCUUUUGUAUAAUGGGUCAGCGACUUAUAUUCUGUAGCAAGGUUAACCGAAUAGGGGAGCCGAAGGGAAACCGAGUCUUAACUGGGCGUUAAGUUGCAGGGUAUAGACCCGAAACCCGGUGAUCUAGCCAUGGGCAGGUUGAAGGUUGGGUAACACUAACUGGAGGACCGAACCGACUAAUGUUGAAAAAUUAGCGGAUGACUUGUGGCUGGGGGUGAAAGGCCAAUCAAACCGGGAGAUAGCUGGUUCUCCCCGAAAGCUAUUUAGGUAGCGCCUCGUGAAUUCAUCUCCGGGGGUAGAGCACUGUUUCGGCAAGGGGGUCAUCCCGACUUACCAACCCGAUGCAAACUGCGAAUACCGGAGAAUGUUAUCACGGGAGACACACGGCGGGUGCUAACGUCCGUCGUGAAGAGGGAAACAACCCAGACCGCCAGCUAAGGUCCCAAAGUCAUGGUUAAGUGGGAAACGAUGUGGGAAGGCCCAGACAGCCAGGAUGUUGGCUUAGAAGCAGCCAUCAUUUAAAGAAAGCGUAAUAGCUCACUGGUCGAGUCGGCCUGCGCGGAAGAUGUAACGGGGCUAAACCAUGCACCGAAGCUGCGGCAGCGACGCUGAUGCGUUGUUGGGUAGGGGAGCGUUCUGUAAGCCUGCGAAGGUGUGCUGUGAGGCAUGCUGGAGGUAUCAGAAGUGCGAAUGCUGACAUAAGUAACGAUAAAGCGGGUGAAAAGCCCGCUCGCCGGAAGACCAAGGGUUCCUGUCCAACGUUAAUCGGGGCAGGGUGAGUCGACCCCUAAGGCGAGGCCGAAAGGCGUAGUCGAUGGGAAACAGGUUAAUAUUCCUGUACUUGGUGUUACUGCGAAGGGGGGACGGAGAAGGCUAUGUUGGCCGGGCGACGGUUGUCCCGGUUUAAGCGUGUAGGCUGGUUUUCCAGGCAAAUCCGGAAAAUCAAGGCUGAGGCGUGAUGACGAGGCACUACGGUGCUGAAGCAACAAAUGCCCUGCUUCCAGGAAAAGCCUCUAAGCAUCAGGUAACAUCAAAUCGUACCCCAAACCGACACAGGUGGUCAGGUAGAGAAUACCAAGGCGCUUGAGAGAACUCGGGUGAAGGAACUAGGCAAAAUGGUGCCGUAACUUCGGGAGAAGGCACGCUGAUAUGUAGGUGAAGUCCCUCGCGGAUGGAGCUGAAAUCAGUCGAAGAUACCAGCUGGCUGCAACUGUUUAUUAAAAACACAGCACUGUGCAAACACGAAAGUGGACGUAUACGGUGUGACGCCUGCCCGGUGCCGGAAGGUUAAUUGAUGGGGUCAGCGCAAGCGAAGCUCUUGAUCGAAGCCCCGGUAAACGGCGGCCGUAACUAUAACGGUCCUAAGGUAGCGAAAUUCCUUGUCGGGUAAGUUCCGACCUGCACGAAUGGCGUAAUGAUGGCCAGGCUGUCUCCACCCGAGACUCAGUGAAAUUGAACUCGCUGUGAAGAUGCAGUGUACCCGCGGCAAGACGGAAAGACCCCGUGAACCUUUACUAUAGCUUGACACUGAACAUUGAGCCUUGAUGUGUAGGAUAGGUGGGAGGCUUUGAAGUGUGGACGCCAGUCUGCAUGGAGCCGACCUUGAAAUACCACCCUUUAAUGUUUGAUGUUCUAACGUUGACCCGUAAUCCGGGUUGCGGACAGUGUCUGGUGGGUAGUUUGACUGGGGCGGUCUCCUCCUAAAGAGUAACGGAGGAGCACGAAGGUUGGCUAAUCCUGGUCGGACAUCAGGAGGUUAGUGCAAUGGCAUAAGCCAGCUUGACUGCGAGCGUGACGGCGCGAGCAGGUGCGAAAGCAGGUCAUAGUGAUCCGGUGGUUCUGAAUGGAAGGGCCAUCGCUCAACGGAUAAAAGGUACUCCGGGGAUAACAGGCUGAUACCGCCCAAGAGUUCAUAUCGACGGCGGUGUUUGGCACCUCGAUGUCGGCUCAUCACAUCCUGGGGCUGAAGUAGGUCCCAAGGGUAUGGCUGUUCGCCAUUUAAAGUGGUACGCGAGCUGGGUUUAGAACGUCGUGAGACAGUUCGGUCCCUAUCUGCCGUGGGCGCUGGAGAACUGAGGGGGGCUGCUCCUAGUACGAGAGGACCGGAGUGGACGCAUCACUGGUGUUCGGGUUGUCAUGCCAAUGGCACUGCCCGGUAGCUAAAUGCGGAAGAGAUAAGUGCUGAAAGCAUCUAAGCACGAAACUUGCCCCGAGAUGAGUUCUCCCUGACUCCUUGAGAGUCCUGAAGGAACGUUGAAGACGACGACGUUGAUAGGCCGGGUGUGUAAGCGCAGCGAUGCGUUGAGCUAACCGGUACUAAUGAACCGUGAGGCUUAACC